GAUGAACGCUGGCGGUAUGCUUAACACAUGCAAGUCGAACGGUCUUUUCGGAGAUAGUGGCGGACGGGUGAGUAACGCGUAAGAAUCUACCUUCAGGUUGGGGACAACCACUGGAAACGGUGGCUAAUACCGAAUGUGCCGAGAGGUGAAAGGCUUGCUGCCUGAAGAAGAGCUUGCGUCUGAUUAGCUAGUUGGUGGGGUAAGAGCCUACCAAGGCGACGAUCAGUAGCUGGUCUGAGAGGAUGAUCAGCCACACUGGGACUGAGACACGGCCCAGACUCCUACGGGAGGCAGCAGUGGGGAAUUUUCCGCAAUGGGCGAAAGCCUGACGGAGCAAUACCGCGUGAGGGAGGAAGGCUCUUGGGUUGUAAACCUCUUUUCUCAGGGAAGAAGAAAGUGACGGUACCUGAGGAAUAAGCAUCGGCUAACUCCGUGCCAGCAGCCGCGGUAAUACGGAGGAUGCAAGCGUUAUCCGGAAUGAUUGGGCGUAAAGGGUCCGCAGGUGGCAUUGUAAGUCUGCUGUUAAAGAGUCACGGCUCAACGUGAUAAAAGCAGUGGAAACUACAAAGCUAGAGUGUGGUCGGGGCAGAGGGAAUUCCUGGUGUAGCGGUGAAAUGCGUAGAUAUCAGGAAGAACAUCGGUGGCGAAGGCGCUCUGCUAGGCCAAAACUGACACUGAGGGACGAAAGCUAGGGGAGCGAAUGGGAUUAGA
rnacentral:rRNA from 1 species